AUACUUUGGUAUUACUUUACAGUUUUUCGGUGGCUGUGAACCAGAAGCUGGGUGCUAGAUUUUCAAACUCGACAUCUACAGUAUUGACAUACUACAUUCUGACCCUGUGAAGAUGAGAGGUAAUGGAAGGGGCCUCUUCUUUCUGACCCUGUGAAGGUGAGGGGUAAUGGAAGGGGCCUCUUCUUUCUGACCCUGUGAAGAUGAGAGGUAAUGGAAGGGGCCUCUUCUUUCUGACCCUGUGAAGGUGAGACGUAAUGGAAGGGGCCUCUUCUUUCUGACCCUGUGAAGGUGAGACGUAAUGGAAGGGGCCUCUUCUUUCUGACCAUGUGAAAAUGAUGGGUUAUGGAAUGGGCCUCUUCUUUCUGACCCUGUGAAGGUGAGGGGUUAUGGAAUG
ensembl:lncRNA